UCAAGGUUGACCUCGGAUCAGGUAGGGAUACCCGCUGAACUUAAGCAUAUCAAUAAGCGGAGG
rnacentral:rRNA from 1 species